GACGAACGCUGGCGGCGUGCUUAACACAUGCAAGUCGAACGGAAAGGCCCUGCUUUUGUUGGGUUCUCGAGUGGCGAACGGGUGAGUAACACGUGAGUAACCUGCCCUUGACUUUGUGAUAACUUCAGGAAACUGGGGCUAAUACCGGAUAGGAGCUCCUGCUGCAUGGUGGGGGUUGGAAAGUUUCGGCGGUUGGGGAUGGACUAGCGGCUUAUCAGCUUGUUGGUGGGGUAGUGGAUUACCAAGGUUUUGACGGGUAGCCGGCCUGAGAGGUUGACCGGCCACAUUGGUACUGAGAUACGGCCCAGACUCCUACGUGAGGCAGCAGUGGAGAAUAUUGCACAAUGGGCGGAAGCCUGAUGCAGCAACGCCGCGUUCGGGAUGACGGCCUUCGGGUUGUAAACCGCUUUCUACUUUGACGAAGCGUGAUUGACGGUAAUGAGUAAAGAAGCACCGGCUAACUACGUG
rnacentral:rRNA from 1 species